GAUGAACGCUGGCGGCGUGCCUAAUACAUGCAAGUCGAACGAGUUCUGAUUAUUGAAAGGUGCUUGCAUCUUGAUUUAAUUUUGAACGAGUGGCGGACGGGUGAGUAACACGUGGGUAACCUGCCCUUAAGUGGGGGAUAACAUUUGGAAACAGAUGCUAAUACCGCAUAAAUCCAAGAACCGCAUGGUUCUUGGCUGAAAGAUGGCGUAAGCUAUCGCUUUUGGAUGGACCCGCGGCGUAUUAGCUAGUUGGUGAGGUAACGGCUCACCAAGGCAAUGAUACGUAGCCGAACUGAGAGGUUGAUCGGCCACAUUGGGACUGAGACACGGCCCAAACUCCUACGGGAGGCAGCAGUAGGGAAUCUUCCACAAUGGACGCAAGUCUGAUGGAGCAACGCCGCGUGAGUGAAGAAGGCUUUCGGGUCGUAAAACUCUGUUGUUGGAGAAGAAUGGUCGGCAGAGUAACUGUUGUCGGCGUGACGGUAUCCAACCAGAAAGCCACGGCUAACUACGUGCCAGCAGCCGCGGUAAUACGUAGGUGGCAAGCGUUAUCCGGAUUUAUUGGGCGUAAAGCGAGCGCAGGCGGUUUUUUAAGUCUGAUGUGAAAGCCCUCGGCUUAACCGAGGAAGUGCAUCGGAAACUGGGAAACUUGAGUGCAGAAGAGGACAGUGGAACUCCAUGUGUAGCGGUGAAAUGCGUAGAUAUAUGGAAGAACACCAGUGGCGAAGGCGGCUGUCUGGUCUGUAACUGACGCUGAGGCUCGAAAGCAUGGGUAGCGAACAGGAUUAGAUACCCUGGUAGUCCAUGCCGUAAACGAUGAAUGCUAGGUGUUGGAGGGUUUCCGCCCUUCAGUGCCGCAGCUAACGCAUUAAGCAUUCCGCCUGGGGAGUACGACCGCAAGGUUGAAACUCAAAGGAAUUGACGGGGGCCCGCACAAGCGGUGGAGCAUGUGGUUUAAUUCGAAGCAACGCGAAGAACCUUACCAGGUCUUGACAUCUUUUGAUCACCUGAGAGAUCAGGUUUCCCCUUCGGGGGCAAAAUGACAGGUGGUGCAUGGUUGUCGUCAGCUCGUGUCGUGAGAUGUUGGGUUAAGUCCCGCAACGAGCGCAACCCUUAUGACUAGUUGCCAGCAUUUAGUUGGGCACUCUAGUAAGACUGCCGGUGACAAACCGGAGGAAGGUGGGGAUGACGUCAAAUCAUCAUGCCCCUUAUGACCUGGGCUACACACGUGCUACAAUGGAUGGUACAACGAGUUGCGAGACCGCGAGGUCAAGCUAAUCUCUUAAAGCCAUUCUCAGUUCGGACUGUAGGCUGCAACUCGCCUACACGAAGUCGGAAUCGCUAGUAAUCGCGGAUCAGCACGCCGCGGUGAAUACGUUCCCGGGCCUUGUACACACCGCCCGUCACACCAUGAGAGUUUGUAACACCCGAAGCCGGUGGCGUAACCCUUUUAGGGAGCGAGCCGUCUAAGGUGGGACAAAUGAUUAGGGUGAAGUCG
rnacentral:rRNA from 2 species